rnacentral:rRNA from 1 species
GACGAACGCUGGCGGCGUGCUUAACACAUGCAAGUCGAACGGAAAGGCCCUGCUUUUGUGGGGUGCUCGAUUGGCGAACGGGUGAGUAACACGUGAGUAACCUGCCCUUGACUUUGUGAUAUCUUCAGGAAACUGGGGCUAAUACCUGAUAGGAUCUCCUGCUGCUUGGUGGUGGUUGGAAAUUUUCGGCGGUUGGUGAUGGACUCGCGGCUUAUCAGCUUGUUUGUGGGGUAGUGGCUUACCAAGGCUUUGACGGGUAGCCGGCCUGAGAGGGUGACCGGCCAAAUUGGGACUGAGAUAAGGCCCAGACGGCUACGGGAGGCAGCAGUGGGGAAUAUUGCACAAUGGGCGGAAGCCUGAUGAAGAAACGCCGCGUGCGGGAUGACGGGCUUCGGGUUGUAAACCGAUUUAGCAUGUGACGAAGCGUGAGUGACGGUAAUGGGUAAAGAAGCACCGGCUAACUACGUG